CCAGCUAUAGCCCUGGUAUAAAGUACAAGUAAAUCCCACCGAGGGACUAACUGAAACUUCAGGGAGUAUGUGGGUCUUUCCUACAUUGCACAGAUUCCACCAGGAAGUGAAUCCGCACCCUGUGGCCCCCAUCCAUAACAAACCCUGGAGAGUUAUGAGACUUUUCUUCUUCCAGUUCUAGAAGGAACCCCCAAGGGGCUCAGAGCCAGUUCCUUCGUUCCCAGUGGCGGCCAGCAGGGCAGACUGAGCAGGCGCAGAGAGCUUUGAUGUCAACAGAGGUAGGCAGGGCAGGCCCCAGUGGAAAACUGUGAAGUCAGCAGAGUUAUCUCCGGCACUCCUCCCUUCCUCCUUGCUUCCCCUUUCUCCACCCAUUUCCCCCACUCGGCUUCCAGCUUCUCAUUUCCCAGGGGACCCUGGAACAUACAAAAACCCACCCCUCCAA
rnacentral:lncRNA from 1 species